rnacentral:rRNA from 1 species
CGGGGGGGCGGGCCUACACAUGCAAGUCGAGCGGUAGCACAGAGAGCUUGCUCUCGGGUGACGAGCGGCGGACGGGUGAGUAAUGUCUGGGAAACUGCCUGAUGGAGGGGGAUAACUACUGGAAACGGUAGCUAAUACCGCAUAACGUCGCAAGACCAAAGUGGGGGACCUUCGGGCCUCAUGCCAUCAGAUGUGCCCAGAUGGGAUUAGCUAGUAGGUGGGGUAACGGCUCACCUAGGCGACGAUCCCUAGCUGGUCUGAGAGGAUGACCAGCCACACUGGAACUGAGACACGGUCCAGACUCCUACGGGAGGCAGCAGUGGGGAAUAUUGCACAAUGGGCGCAAGCCUGAUGCAGCCAUGCCGCGUGUGUGAAGAAGGCCUUCGGGUUGUAAAGCACUUUCAGCGGGGAGGAAGGCGAUAAGGUUAAUAACCUUGUCGAUUGACGUUACCCGCAGAAGAAGCACCGGCUAACUCCGUGCCAGCAGCCGCGGUAAUACGGAGGGUGCAAGCGUUAAUCGGAAUUACUGGGCGUAAAGCGCACGCAGGCGGUCUGUCAAGUCGGAUGUGAAAUCCCCGGGCUCAACCUGGGAACUGCAUUCGAAACUGGCAGGCUAGAGUCUUGUAGAGGGGGGUAGAAUUCCAGGUGUAGCGGUGAAAUGCGUAGAGAUCUGGAGGAAUACCGGUGGCGAAGGCGGCCCCCUGGACAAAGACUGACGCUCAGGUGCGAAAGCGUGGGGAGCAAACAGGAUUAGAUACCCUGGUAGUCCACGCCGUAAACGAUGUCGAUUUGGAGGUUGUGCCCUUGAGGCGUGGCUUCCGGAGCUAACGCGUUAAAUCGACCGCCUGGGGAGUACGGCCGCAAGGUUAAAACUCAAAUGAAUUGACGGGGGCCCGCACAAGCGGUGGAGCAUGUGGUUUAAUUCGAUGCAACGCGAAGAACCUUACCUGGUCUUGACAUCCACAGAACUUUCCAGAGAUGGAUUGGUGCCUUCGGGAACUGUGAGACAGGUGCUGCAUGGCUGUCGUCAGCUCGUGUUGUGAAAUGUUGGGUUAAGUCCCGCAACGAGCGCAACCCUUAUCCUUUGUUGCCAGCGGUUAGGCCGGGAACUCAAAGGAGACUGCCAGUGAUAAACUGGAGGAAGGUGGGGAUGACGUCAAGUCAUCAUGGCCCUUACGACCAGGGCUACACACGUGCUACAAUGGCAUAUACAAAGAGAAGCGACCUCGCGAGAGCAAGCGGACCUCAUAAAGUAUGUCGUAGUCCGGAUUGGAGUCUGCAACUCGACUCCAUGAAGUCGGAAUCGCUAGUAAUCGUAGAUCAGAAUGCUACGGUGAAUACGUUCCCGGGCCUUGUACACACCGCCCGUCACACCAUGGGAGUGGGUUGCAAAAGAAGUAGGUAGCUUAACCUUCGGGAGGGCGCUUACCACCUUGGAAUUCCCGGG